GCGGGGGUUGCCAAGCCAGGUCAAAGGCGCAGCCCUGUAAGGAGCCAUUUUACGUUUGCUCCUUGGGUAUAGGCGGCUGUCCCGUAGGGGUUCGUGGGUUCGAAUCCCACCCCCCGCA
rnacentral:tRNA from 1 species